rnacentral:rRNA from 1 species
ACGAACGCUGGCGGCGUGCUUAACACAUGCAAGUCGAACGGAAAAGCCCUGCUUUUGUGGGGUGCUCGAGUGGCGAACGGGUGAGUAACACGUGAGUAACCUGCCCUUGACUUUGGGAUAACUUCAGGAAACUGGGGCUAAUACCGGAUAGGAGCUCCUGCUGCAUGGUGGGGGUUGGAAAGUUUCGGCGGUUGGGGAUGGACUCGCGGCUUAUCAGCUUGUUGGUGGGGUAGUGGCUUACCAAGGCUUUGACGGGUAGCCGGCCUGAGAGGGUGACCGGCCACAUUGGGACUGAGAUACGGCCCAGACUCCUACGGGAGGCAGCAGUGGGGAAUAUUGCACAAUGGGCGGAAGCCUGAUGCAGCAACGCCGCGUGCGGGAUGACGGCCUUCGGGUUGUAAACCGCUUUCGCCUGUGACGAAGCGUGAGUGACGGUAAUGGGUAAAGAAGCACCGGCUAACUACGUG